CAAAAAUUAUAAGAUGCAAAAGCACGCUAUGUUUAAUAGAAACCUUGCUGUCUAACAGGAAAUAUAAUGUAUUUCUAAAUGGCGUUGCCAGUAGUUACAAAUACCUACAAAAUGGCCUCCCCCAGGGAUCUGUACUAUCACCGAUUCUGUUCAACGUAUACACAUCCGAUAUAGUUGAUACCAUCUCAAGAAAAUUAAUUUAUGCUGACGACAUCGCGCUAGUAGCCCAAACAAAGGAUCUCAACAAGG